rnacentral:lncRNA from 1 species
UGGUCUUUUUUUAGGGUCGGAAACUCUAGAUGAAGAAAGACAGAAAGGACGGACGUCGGUGAAGUAGCAUGGCUGUCUCUGCCUGUCGGUUUCAUUCCGACCGACCAAUUACCAUAAACGGCGUCCGGUAAUCUAUUUUUAAAAAUACCAAUUACAUAUAGUCGUAAUGAAAGAGUGACGAUGCUCUCUUCUAAUUACUCUCCCUAAAUUUAAAUUAAUUAUCAGUAGUCAAUUGUCACGGUCAGUGGCAUUAGGACCGGAGCAAGCUUUCAGAACAGGACUCCAAAUCCAUUGAACGAGAAACUUCUUCCC